CCAGCUCCAAUAGCGUAUACUAAAGUUGUUGCAGUUAAAAAGCUCGUAGUUGGAUUUCUGGUCGUGAACCCAGGUCCGGACCUCACGGUCUGCGUACUCGGUGUUUGCAGCCAUCUUCGGGGAAAACACUUCUGUACUUCAUUGUAUGGUUGUGCGAUCUCCGUCAAUUACUGUGAGCAAAGUAGAGUGUUCAAAGCAGGCUUAUGCCGUUGAAUAUAUUAGCAUGGAAUAAUAAGAUAAGACUUUGGUUUAUUUUGUUGGUUUACAUUCCAAGGUAAUGAUUAAUAGGGAUAGUUGGGGGUAUUCGUAUUCAAUUGUCAGAGGUGAAAUUCUUGGAUUUAUGGAAGACGAACUACUGCGAAAGCAUUUACCAAGGAUGUUUUCA
rnacentral:rRNA from 1 species